CCGAAAUUAGAGAGAGAGAGGUGUGAAAGAGAGAGAAGGAGGAGAAGAAAGGAAGAAGAAGGAGGAGGUCUUAGGGUAUUCAAGGGUGAUUAUCACUUGGGUGUUGAUCAAGUUGUGUUCUUGAUUUUACAAUCAAGAGAGGGUCGUUGAGAAGUUGUGGUUUUACUAAGCUUGGACCUGAGGUA